AUUGAACGCUGGCGGCAUGCCUUACACAUGCAAGUCGAACGGCAGCGGACCUUCGGGUGCCGGCGAGUGGCGAACGGGUGAGUAAAGUAUCGGAACGUACCUUUCAGUGGGGGAUAACUGUCCGAAAGGACAGCUAAUACCGCAUAUUCUGUGAGCAGGAAAGCAGGGGAUCGCAAGACCUUGCGCUGAUUGAGCGGCCGAUAUCAGAUUAGCUAGUUGGUGAGGUAAAGGCUCACCAAGGCGACGAUCUGUAGCGGGUCUGAGAGGAUGAUCCGCCACACUGGAACUGAGACACGGUCCAGACUCCUACGGGAGGCAGCAGUGGGGAAUUUUGGACAAUGGGGGCGAACCCUGAUCCAGCCAUGCCGCGUGAGUGAAGAAGGCCUUCGGUUGU
rnacentral:rRNA from 1 species